UAUUAAUAUCCUUUUUCUUAAUCUCUCUUGUGUGGUAAAAGUUAUCGCAGAAACGUGGACAACACAAUUUUUCCUGCCUUGUGGAUCAUCAUCCCAAACCCAGUUGGAGAGGUUGGUUACAUGUCCUCCUAAAGUUUGGAUAAACUGAGUUUGGAAUGUUUCUUGAAGGUGUGUGUGGAGCCUGGAAGGAGCUGAAUGGCUACCAACUCUCGUGUUAGCUAAAUCGUUCCAAAAAGUAAAUGUAUCAGUCCUAUCUCCCUCAAUCCAGCUUCUCUCUUUCUCCUCCAUGCUGAUACGAGACCUAUGGGAGUUUGGUAAAACCAAGACUAUUGUUGGCCAUGGAAGAUACACAUAUCAGAAGGACCCGAGUGAUAUUUCCAUGGAUGUUUGAUGAGAGUCAUGCCUUGAAGCCAUUCAAAGCUGACGCUGAUCUCGUGGCCAAGGAAGAUGAUUGACCUCCAUUAUAUGAUAGUUGCUACAUUGAAAACUAACAAGGUGCUUGUUGGCCAUGUAAGAUACUGAAGGACCGAAGUGAAGAUCUCAGAUGUUUGCUCUGUUGAUUGGUGGACUCGAGGAGGCUGCUUGCGGUGCCAAACUCAAAGAUUGUAUUGUUACAGGAGGCGUCCUUCAAUAUUGGCGAAUCUGCAGAGAAUGGUGAUACUGAUUCAGGAUGCUAACACAAAGGCGACAACAAAUUAUCAGACUUCUAAUUUUGGAUAGAAAGCAAAAUCAUCAAGUCAUCGAAAUUGACUAUCGCAAGCAAGGUUUCCUAUUCCCAAUUACCGGCCAGAUUUGGAUGACAAGCGACCACAACAAUGGGAGGCACAACUUAUACUUGUAGUUUAAUGAAUAUGUAACGCAUCUCAUCGUGCAGGUGGUACUUCCUUUGAGUUUGCAAAAAAGGGUUCCUGCAGGAACACCUUGAUAGACAACAGCUAAGCUCAGAGAAGGCUAAUGAAGGUGUAGCUGAUUCUCAACCUCCUAAACAGAUUGAAGAACUUCCGGAUGAAAGGUUUGAUGCGUUUAUUGAUGGUUCUCUUAUGGAGAAUGUACUUAAGAGGAGAAGUAUGCGCAUGCGCAAUAUGCUGAGAGCCUGGCAGGAAUCCCCUGAGGGAAGGACGGUGCUGGAAUUCCGGAGAUCUUUACUAAGGACAAAGAAAGACUUCUUCAAGCUAUUGCUCAGAACCAGGC